UGUAAGCGUAUACCAAAGUUGUUGCAGUUAAAACGCUCGUAGUCGGAAUUUGGCAGUUCCGGAAGUGUGCACGUCGUGUGCGCACUUUGCGGGGACUGCUUUUGUGGUCUUGCGUAGGAUGAGGCACUUUCAUUAGUGAACGUCCUCACGCAACCACUCUUUACUGUGAGAAAAUCAGAGUGCUCAAAGCAGGCAUUUGCCGUGAAUGUAUUAGCAUGGAAUAAUAGAAUAGGACUCGGUUCUAUUUUGUUGGUUUGUUGGGACUGAGUAAUGAUUAAGAGGGACAGUUGGGGGCAUUUGUAUUCCGGCACUAGAGGUGAAAUUCUUAGAUUGCCGGAAGACAAACUGCUGCGAAAGCGUCUGCCAAGGAUGUUUUCAUUGA
rnacentral:rRNA from 1 species